UUUAUAUAGGAUUUGAAUAAGAUUUGAUUAGAAUUUAUUUAGGAUUUGUUUAGAAUUUUUUUAAGAUUUAUCUAGGAUUUGACUAGGAUUUGUCUAGAAUAUGAUUAAAAUUUGUUUAAGAUUUAUUUAGGAUUUGUCUAGGAUUUGCCUAAGAUUUGUUUAGAAUUUGAUUAGAAUUAGACUAUGAUUUGUUUAAGAUUUGAUUAGAAUUUAUCUAAGAUUUUUUUAGGAUUUUUUUAGUAUUUGAUUAGGAUUUGUCUAGGAUAUUUUUAGUAUUUGAUUAAAAUUUAAUUAGGAUUUGAUUUAGGAUUUAUUUGUAUUUUUUUAUUAUUUAUUUUAAAAUUAAAU
rnacentral:lncRNA from 1 species